rnacentral:rRNA from 1 species
UGUGUAGGCGGUUGCUUAAGUUUGGUGUGAAAUCUCCCGGCUCAACUGGGAGGGUGCGCCGAAUACUGAGUGACUAGAGUGCGGGAGAGGAGAGUGGAAUUCCUGGUGUAGCGGUGAAAUGCGUAGAUAUCAGGAGGAACACCGGUGGUGUAGACGGCUCUCUGGACCGUAACUGACGCUGAGACACGAAAGCGUGGGUAGCAAACAGGAUUAGAUACCCUGGUAGUCCACGCCCUAAACGAUGCAUAUUUGGUGUGGGCAGUUCAGUCUGUCCGUGCCGGAGCUAACGCGUUAAAUAUGCCGCCUGGGGAGUACAGUCGCAAGGCUAGAA